ensembl:lncRNA
UGGCUCCAGAGGGCUGCUCUGCCUCUACUCCUGACAUGUGCUUGAAGUCCUUGAGCUUCUGUUCCCACCUAUGGAGUUGUGCAGGAAGCAGGAGAAGAUUGAUCCUGAGAAACUGAGGGUACCUUUUCAGGCUCUUCACACGCAUGGAGCCAGGAAAUGAUUCAGAUCACCUUGAAAGAACUGCUUAACAGGAAAGAAGAUGUGAGGCAAGUUCCAGCAAAUUUGUGUGACUAAGAACAGCACAGGUAAAACUAGUCACAUGCUGACACAGUUUCCAGUGGCCCAGAAAAACAACCAUCUGAGUAAAACCAGUACUGAGGAGCCAGUGUCCUUAUGCUUCAGCAACGCUGCUGCCAAGGCUGCAACCUCUAACACAGACACACAGAAUAAAGCUCAAAGCAGUAAUGCCUCAAGCUGCUUUACCACAAACCACCUUUAUCCUUUUAUUAACUCCUGAUGUUGUAUUCCAACAGAAUAUACUGUUGGGAUGCUCUGGAGCUCAUUCAGGACGUUCACACAGGCCCUUUGCUACAUGACAUUCCCUCCUAAGACCCAGAGAGCGCAGUGGAGGUAUUGCUUAGACAAGAUCAGAGAUCUUUACCCUGUCACAGAAAAAUACUCUUCUACAAACAGUUUCUAUGUUCAAACCUUGAACUCAAGUAAAGAAACAGUACAACAGGUUGCAAGAAGUAAUCAUAUAAAUUAAAUUUAGAUGGCUUGUGAUCAGAUAAGCAUAUCAAAACAUUACAUUUCCUUCAGAAUUACAGUUCUCCAUCUUCUUGUAAAAGCUGAGGACACUGCUGGUGUCGGGGAGCUCCAGCUGCUGUGCCAUAGCAUUGCUUGGAAACUUCCAACCGGUUCCUGCACCAAGAGGCUGAGCAGCUGCUUCUGCUGGAUGCUGACUCUGGAGCCCCACUGUGCUCGGGCCACCAGGAACAUUUACCCCCCAAAGGGGCAUCAGGGCACCGGCCAGGCUGGAGGAACAGCUCCAUUUCCCGUUGGGAUCAAUCAGCUGGUCGCCACUCGAGGGCAGCAUUUCGGCAAAAUAAAAAAGACAUAGGAACAAAAAUGAAGGACACCAAACUGCCGGACCGCGUUAGCUCGCCAUGAGGAUUUACUUGCAGGCUGAUCUCCAAGCUUUCUGUAGCUAUUUAAACAGGGAGGCAAUAUGAGCAGAGAACUGAAGUGCAGUCAGUGAAGGAAUAUGAGGUCAAUACCAGAGAAAUCUGAGCAGAGACUGUAGAGGCACGUUAAUUUACAUAUGGCUUAGCUACCUAAAGGAACAGCGGAUGCACCGACACCCCAGUCUCCCACCCUCCUCCUACGGAAACAUUUUAUCCAAGGAAGGGAAAAAGUUUUCACUCAGAGCAGCCAACUCUCUUUGACCAGAUCUGAGAAAGUUCUCAUACAAUAGUGACUUUAAAAGCUGAGGAGCAGCACCCAGUAACAGUCAGGAUACAAAACAAUGACCCACUUGGACCACCAUCACCUUUUCACUUCCAAUAAUGCCAAGGCACUUCUAAGGCCGCUGCCAAAGCGAGAAGCCUGUAAAAAAAGGCAUGAAUGCUGCUGGUUUAGUGCUCUACUUGCACCAGCUAAAAAUAGUCACAGGCCAAAAACAUGCUCCAGUUUUGGACACUGAAUGACAACAUGGGAUACGAGGCCAAUUAGGUCAAAUUAAAAUAUACCAACAGAAAGAAAAUAAACACUGGUAAACUUUGUCUGGAAGGCAAAGAGAGAUCUUGGAAGAGAAACUUGCUACACAGCUUCAUAUGCACUCAUGUAAUUGUUUUGCCUUCUUAUUCCAGAUAAGUAUUCCUUCAUCCUGGGGCAGGCUGCUCUCAGAGGAGUGUCACAAGGGCCACCACCUUCAGGCCUGGGGUGCUGUAGUCUGAGGCAUCCUCUGCACUCAAUAAAUACAGGUGAUUUCAGAAGUGACUCACAGCACAUCAAUGAAGCUGCCAUUAAUAUCCAUGUUACAUCCAGAUUUACUGUGUUUGUUGUUUUUUAAUCAAAAGAGGCUAAAAGUAGGGGUUAAUUGCACUGAAUUUGAAUGCAGCAGGAAAAGGAAGACUCUAUUGUUCACUCAGCACCAGCAGGCUCAGCAGUGAUGGCAGAGUGGGACCAUGGUGAGGAUCCUGCGUAUCCAGCUGUACCUGUGCUGUAGGUGCAUGUGAACAGAGGAGGCUUAUGGGAAGCAGCUGUUGGCAUGGACAGCUCAGGUGCUGUGAAUAGAAACAUACAGAAGCUAAAUUAAAAACAAGUUGAAACUCAGAAGUAUUCUGCAAUGGCUAAUUGGCAAUUUGACAUUCAUUUCACUCCAGAAACGGAAAUCAAAUAUCCCAUCAUGAGGUCCAAUGAUAAUGGAAUGACUCAGAAGGUUCACGGUUCUUCACACACACUUACCUCCAUGUUUUCAGCACUAUUUUUGCCCUCCUCCCCUUCCAAAAUGAGCAUGAUGUGCUGCUGCCAUCCUGCAGCAGGGUUUACACGGACAGCAACAGAUUAGUAACAUAAGGCAAUUCCCCCAGCAAAUCUCUGAGGCAGCUCAGGAGGAAAAAGGUGCAUUGGCAAUGUCUGCUGUCACUAAUGUGCUACCCAGUGCAAAAGGAAAUGUGCUACUGAGGCAUUGUGAAGUUAGUCAACAUCAGGCCAUCUGCUACACAUAAUCUCAGGUUGCAUGUCAUCAGCCAGGCAUGAAUGUAAAGAAGGCUCUAGCCUGACAUUUUAGUUCUAAAUUGAGUACAUUUAAUCCAGCAGCCACUGAAGGACAGCAGACACUGUCCUAGGGUACCUUCCUAACAAUUGCUUCCUAAUGUAGAACAGUGAUUUAUGUAGUUUAUGAUUUUAAAGGAUAUAUAUAAUGAUGAUGUGCCAAAUGUUUCCCCUUCUGUACUGUUGGCUUCACUGCCUGAUAACUUAUUAACCAGAAAAAGCGGUAAACAAUUUGAUUUCAAGUAUUUUAUGACUUCAAGGAAAAAGUUGGUAAACCAUAAAAAGGGUAUAAACAAAAUAUGAGCAAAAAGAAAGCCUGAAGGCUGGAGACUGUCCCUGAAGAGCCAGUAGAGAGCUUGUCCCACACUCCUCCAAAGCACUGGCAGCAGAAGCUCCCUGCCUGCCAAGUCCCUCACGCUGUACUGAGAGCUGCCUGCUGGCCCCAUGUCCCAAGGGCUGGUACAGCCAUGGGUGGUGUCCUCUUAGACUGAGAUGUGCAGAACAUGGGGAUUCCAUCCUACAUAUUCAGUCAACCUAUUUCCAGUGAAAACAACUAUGAAAUUUCCAAGAACUGCCUGUCCUUUCAACAUGCACAGGUAAAAAGCAAAUAUCAGUCAAAAGAUGUAGUUAAGAAGGAGAGGCUGAGCAGUAUCAUAAUUUUUCAGGAGGUCACACCAAAAACCACACAGCUGGAGUGUGGUAGUAGCUCUCGGGCUACAGAGAGGAACAACUUUCCCAGGUAUUGUCCUGGGGAAAAGUCUGUGAGAAGAUCAGAGAAAAGAAUGAGAAACAAUUCUUAUCUUCACUUGCUGCACCUAUUGUUGUGAACAUGUGGAACAUGUUAUAGAGAUUUGUUUACCAAAGGGUGGUUUCUUGAUUAGCCAAUGGUGAUGGUGUUUGGAUUGGAGGAUCAAUUAGGUCCGGGUGUAUCAUAACUGUCUAUAAAAAGCAAUGGGUUUCUUAAUUACAGAAUAGAAUGAAGAUUAUUGCUCAGUCUUCUGAGAAUCAUGGAGUGAAUGCUAAUUAUUACCAGUUUGGGGAUGCCCUAUUGGAGGAAACAGAAUAUAUCUGUGCCAGCAGAAGCCAUGGGACCCAAAUUGGUUUCAUCCUUUCCUGUGCAAGAUUGCUCCUACCAGAAUGGGACUUGCAAUGCUCACAUUGCUAAGCAGCAGGUGAUGGACUAGUAAAGCUGGAGGCAAUGAAGAAUGAAUAAUCAUGCACCACAGUCCAGCUUAGAAAAAUAUUCAGACUCUGCAAAUAGUAAGGAAAGGGAAUUAAUAAAACUUCACUAGAACUUUAUACAAAGCCAAAAAAGCUCAAAGAAUGCAAACCCAUUGCAUAUGAUAUUGCAAUAUUGUCUUCUACCUUAAUACAGAAACCCACAGUAACCCCUGCUAAGAACAUUAAAUAUUAAUAAUGGCUCCCAGCUGCUGCUACAUAAUGGGCUUAUUUUGGUGAGGAAGAUGUCCACAUCUUAAGAUCAGAUGAUCCUACCCUCCUUUUGAAAUUCAUGCAAGACCCUCUCUCCUUGCUGCAAUUAAUUGAAGAACCCAGGGCUAUUAUUCUUAAAAGGCAGGAUUUGUCUCUGAUCUUUGUCCUACAUUACAUUUUUUUUUUCUCAGAGGUUACAACACAAGCAGAGGUGGAUGGUUUAGCUUGAUUACCAGAGGGCAGCCUUCUUUUCCUCUGUACUGUCCUAAUUAGUGCAAAUCUGCCCACACAAAUAGCCCACAAGGAUAGGGUUUUUCAUUGUUCUCUGUCCUACAUCAGUGAAACUAUUAUACGUGGUAAUGUUCCUGGCUUGCAUCAUCACAAACAUCAAAGCUAGGAAAUGCUCAGUUUCCAUUUAUCCUUUACUAAGCAAGCUUGAGCUUCUUUACUGGCAAAGCAGGUAAUGAAUAGCUGACCACUAACAGAGUGAUUAAUUAGCCAGAAGGCAUUCUCUUCCCUACUUACUUUGCCAUUAAAUUAUAUGGCCACCAUAACUAGACUGAGCUGAUACUGAUCUCUGUUUUAGAAGAUUGCUGACUGUAGUCUGCUGACCCAUAUAAUAUUUUUAAAAAAUCAUGAUCACUGUGCACUUACUGAUCUAGAUAUGAAUGGUUCUCAAUAAUGAAAUGGCAGCUAGAUAUUCAAUACUCACUGGAAGCAACACAGACUUAAAUACAGUUGGUUAUUUAGAAGAUUCAUCAUGAAGCAUUACUAAAAAGAAAACCCUCAUCCUCAGAAAUUCAGAAGCACAGAAGAGGCAGUAAGUUCCUAGACUAAAUGAUUCACUAGAGCUACCAUUAACUACUACUGCAUCAGUAAAUAUUAAAAUAGAUCUUUUCUGGCUUUAGCCAAUUCCUGUCCAAAGAUUUUAUGUAAGAAUGGAAAAUUGGUAUUAUCUAGGUCUGAACAUGCCCCUGAGGAAAAAAAAAAUUGCAGAGAGAUACUGAAUCUUUUUCAGACUCAGCUCUAAGUAAGCCUUAGGUUGGAAGACACUGCACUCAUCUUGGCUGAACUCUAUGAAAUUAAACCUUUCACUUCUAAAAGUGUUUCUAGCUGCUAUAGUUGCAGCAAUAACCUCCCAAAGGUGAAAUGAGUAGCAGAUGUAGCAAUAUCUGCAGCCACCCUUGGGACAAUGACUCUGAGGAGUGAGCUCCUCUGUCCCAUGUUAGUCUGAUGAGUGCUGAGUCCAAUCCUCAGAUUUGUGACUUAAGUGAGCAGGAAAUGGGUUUGGAGAAGUACAGCUCCUUGAAACCGGGAGCUGCUGUGGGGAGAGAUCACAGGUGCAGCAACAAGGAAACAGCAAAGACAAGAGAACAAGGGGAGAGGAAGUGGAGUCAGUAGUGCCAUGAGGCUCCCUGAACAGAGAAGGUCAUGAUCAGACAGUAAAUUCAAACCCAUUGCCAUGUAGCCCCUGCCCAGCAGCAAAUAGCAAUGGUGAGCUGCUGAUUCAGAUAUCAGGAGGGGGAACUGCAGAGCUGAGAAUCCCAAGGCUACAGCGGGGACUCUUUCUGUCCUGACACUGAAGGGGCACACCUUGAGGCGAAGGUAACCCUUCCCUCUUCCUGCCUGAUAGAGGAUCUCCACUUGUCUGGGGUCAGACACAAUUUUUAAAUUGAAGUGUCAUUAGCAAGACACUUCUAGUUUCUUCUGUAACUUUGAAUGCAAAUUGGAAGAUACAGGUAAAAAUAGGUUGCCUAAAUGAAGAUCUUGCUCAAAUUUCUAACUCAAUUUUUGGUUUAGAGGGUAUUCACUUCAUGUAGAAAAAGAAGCAGUCAGCUAAUCAGAUCAAGUAUCUUGGCAACAUCCCAGAUGCAAAAGUUCCUCUGGCUAUAAUAUGAUUUUGAGAUAAGCAACAAACAUUUACACACAUUGCUGACACAAAUAAAGGACAAUCCAGCAAGUCCAGAAAAAAAAAACCUCAUCUAUCCUUGAAAAGGUU